rnacentral:lncRNA from 1 species
AUGUGGGUUUGCUGUGGUGCCGCACUGGUCUACGUGCUGGGGACCCGACCACUGCCAGUGGGAUGCUCUUCUCACUGUGGUCACCUGCAGAGCGGACUGCAGCAGGCCCAGGAAGCCGGGUCCUUGCCGGAAGUCGCUGCAACUGGUGGAGCGGAGCUGGCAGCUCCUGCCGUUGCCUGGGUAGCAGUGAUGUUGGAGGAGCCUGCUGUGGGGUUGGAGGAGCGAGAAUGCUGUGGUCUGGGCCUGAACGCUUGGAACCGGAGGAAGCUGGUUUCCGGGCCAGGCUGGGGGCGGUGGCGGGCUUGGUUUAGAAAUGCUCACUCUACGGGAGCAGCGCCCGGCAGGGAAAAACUGCGCUGGAGGCGAAGAGCAGAGGUCCCGGGGCGGGGCGGGCGGGGCGCCGGACAGGGGCGGGGCGGAGGGGCCUGGAAGCUGCAGACUCCUUGGAGGAGCAGGGAGGUGGCCUGGGCUUGGAAGAUUGCAGUCAGGCCGGAGCAGGGAGGGAGAGUGACAGAGGGGGGCAGAGCGGGGGAGCCCAGAAGGACCCUGGCUUCCAACCCAGCCUGCAUCGGGGAGGAGAGGCACCCAGCAUGGCAGCUGCUUUUGCCCUCAACUGGGUCAGGCUGUGGUGCUCAGCCCUGACCCCCUGCGGCACAGGUCUGCACUCUGAGCCCAGCAGAUGGCCCGUCACCAGGAAGGGGGGUCUACACUCCUACUCUGCAGAUCACAGGAGCGGAUGCUUAAGCUAGGGACCCCAGCCAAGCCCUCUCCUGCUCCCUGGCUCAGUCUCUGCAGGUGUCACGGUGUGCAUCUAGAUGGGCCCCAAAGCCUUACCGCUCCCAGGCGGGCAGGCGGAACACGAUGGGAAUUUGAGUGCUGCUAGCCACUGGAGGUUGGGGGGCGGGGUCUGGUGUGAGGAGGGGGUCGGGGAGGCGUGGCCUGGAGGCUUCCUCUCCCUCCUGCCUCUUCCCUGGCUGCUUCUGUCUUCCUGUCUGUGGCAGCUCCCCACGGCCCUGUACCGGGGACCCUGUGGUGCAGCCCGCGAGCCCGCGCUGAGUCGGAGCCAAGGUAACCCUGUCCUCUUGGAGCUGCGUGUGGGCGGUGUCGCAGGACAGGAAAGUAAACCAGGCACGUGGCGGGGUUAGCCCGACUGCAGAGCUCACUAAGUCCUGGCCUCCGGGCGGUGCUUCUGGACCCUAAUUUAAGGCCAGGGAAUGAGCUUGUUCUUCGGCUCUUUCCCCACGUUGUGUGACUUACUUGCUUCCUAUCUGAGGGGUUCCUGGCGUCCUAUGUGCGAGGCCUUGACGCCCAGCUCCCGAGUUCAGGGACUGCGCUGCAAUUCCUCGGGAGCAGCUGCAGUGGCUGCAGAGCGUGACUGCCCGCCCUCAGCACAAACUCAGCUCCUCUUGUGGUCGGCGCUGGCCCUGUCCCUGUCGCCCUGGGCUCGGUCACUCUGUCCCGAACGUCCCCCGGGGGCCUUGGCUCCGGCAUUCUCCCUGUCCUGCCCACCCCACUGCCCUUCACAGGGGCCUCUCCUCAGAUGACCAUUCAGAGCGAGCUGCUCCAGCCACACUAGCUAAAACCGCACCUUCCUGAGGUGCGCUCCGUGAUGCACACUGCAGUCCCGUCUACCCAGUAAGCUGAUGAGGAGGAGUGCAAAUCUGAGCCCAUACUGGGCAAGUUAACAACUCGGUGAGAUCUGGUCUCAGUAAAAACCAAACAGGCUGGAGAUGUAGCUGAGCACUAAGGCUCUGAGUUCAGUCCCCGGUACUAGGAGAGGGAGAAGAAAGAAAGGAACAAACUAAAACCUUUAACUGAAGUGCGCCUUUCUACCUCUACCCCUACCCCAAUUCCAUACCUGGGUUUCUUCUUACCACUACCUUGCCUUGCAGGUUUAUUUCAUCUUUCUCAUCCUCCACUAAAAUGUAAACUUUACACAGGCAGGGAUCAUGUUUACCACCGGUGCCUGGCAUGUAUAGUAGGUGCUCAAUAAAUUCAAGUUAACAAGUGAGUUUCCUACACUGGAGAAAUGGCAGUGAAUGCAGAAGAAAUAAUUGCAAAGAUUAUAUGGAAGUGAGACAGGGGAGAGACCCAGCUGGGUCAUCUCUCUGGCUCUGAUGCAACAGAAGAAUGAGGAAAAGCAGUUAAACGUGCAACACUAGAGAAUUUCCACUCAAAAGUGCAGGACAUGCUUGCAGAAGGAAAAAGGAGAGCUGGACACACACAAUUCAACACAGGCACAUCCUGGUUAGGCGAUGCGCCAUUAAGAGCAAAGGAAAAACUCUGCAGUCUUCCAGGCAAAAAAGGGCAGCAUAGGAAGAGGAAAUCCUGUGGGACGCAUACUUGUUCUUAGCAAUAUUUAAAGCCAGAAAAUAAAGUGAAAUAUCUACGUUUUAAGGCAAAGCCAGCAUGACCCUAAGUUAUUAAGUCUAAUCAAGGACCACUCCAGAAUUCAUGAAAGCCGGGCCUGGAGGUGCAUGCUUGUAGUCCCUGCAAUUUGCGAGGCUGAGGCAGGAGGAUCGAAAGUCUGAGGCCAGCCUGAGCAAUUUCAUGGGGCCCUGUCUCAAGAAAAGGGCUGGGGAUAUAGUUCAGUGGUGGACAACCCAUGGGUUUGACCCCCAGGGAGACAGAGUGAGAUUGACAGUGUGAGAAUGAAUGAAAAAGGCACAUAAAGGCAGUACAUCACCUGCGAAUCUGUAGGCAAAGAAGAAGGAACGGCUCAGUGAGAGCAGACAGAGGACCGGGGGCCGGUUCCUGCACAGGCUAUGGAGGGUCCAGGCAGCUUGUGAGAGCUGGGUUUGGACACAGGCUUGUUAGUUUGUGUUUGCAGUACACAGUGAGUGCGUGUGCCGUGGCGAGCUGGUACCCACGGAGCACAACUUCAUCCUGUUCAUCCCUUCCCUCCCUCAUCUCCUGGGGCCCUUCCCAUUGGGAAAGAUCCAUCCACCCACUUCCUAUUACUAGCUUCACUGUGCUCUUUGUAAUUCCCAUAUAAAAGAAACCAUGUGACAUUCGAGCGCGUGUGUCUGACUUAUUUUACUUCUCACUGUGGUUUCAAGGUGCGUCCACUU